AGCAGCCGCGGUAAUUCCAGCUCCAAUAGCGUAUAUUAAAGUUGUUGCAGUUAAAAAGCUCGUAGUUGAAUUUCGGAAUCAAUGUGUCGGUCGUGCCUUCGGUACGUACUGGUAUCAUUGGUUUCUCCUUUCUGACGAACCAUGAUGUCA
rnacentral:rRNA from 1 species